rnacentral:lncRNA from 1 species
GGGAUGGGACUGGGUGGUUCUAGCCUUGAAUCUCUGAUGAGGUUGCAGUCCAGUGUCAGCUGGGUUUGGAGGUCUGACUGACCUGGACAUCAAAGAUGGCUUCUGCAAGGAUGCCUCCAGUUCUCUGAUGCUCUUCCUGUGGCCUCGAGUGUUGGUUACCAAGACUCAAGUCAAUUCCCAGUCAAGUCAAGAGGGAUCAAAGCUAAUCUCUCAACAAAGAAAUAAGAGACUUACAACACCUUAAAUCUACCACAAAGCCCUUGAGAGAAAAGCUGCUACCCAGGGACGCAACUGUGUUUGAGAUGUCGUCUGGCUACCUGGUCCACUGGGAUCACAAAGCAGGCAUCUAAAACAGGAGACACUAUCAGUCACUCUUCUGCUGCUGUGACCAAAACACCAUGACAGAAGCAACUAGUAAAGAGUUAAUUUUAACUUGCUGGUCCAGUGGGGUAAGAGUCCGUCAGAAAGGAGGCACGGCAGCACAUGGCAUAGCCGCAGAGCAGUGAGCUGGGUGCCCACACCUGAAAUAGCAAGCACAAAGCCGAGAGAACAAACCGGAAGUGGUGGAGGCUUUUAAACCUCAAGCCCACCCCUAGCAAUUUACUCCUUCUAGCAAGGCUGCACCCCUAAACCUCUUCAACCAGCUCACCAACUGGGGCCAAACGCCUGAGAUUGCGGGAGCAUUUCCUAUUACGUCGUCGCUACAGAGGGCAAAAUGGUGGUGCCGUUAUAAUCCCAGCACGUGAAGGGAUGAGGAUGGUUGAUUCAAGGCCAGUCUGAGCUACAGGGAGAGUCUGUCUCAAAGAAAACUCAGGGCUUAGAGAGAAGGCUCAGCCGGUAAAGCACUUGCCUCUUAAACUAAAGAUUUAAAGGAAAAAAAAAAAAAAAAAAAAAAAGCAAAGGGGAUUUGCUCCUGGAUUUGAGUGUUUAGCCUUCCCAGACCAACCUCGUCAUUACUCUGUGAAAUCCAGGCGUAUGCCAGUUCUUCCGGUCAGAUCCACACCAGGACACCUCCCCUUCCCAUCCCUUGGCUUAAGAUGACAAUACUGGUUACGUUUUAGAGAGCUUCUGUGCCACAUGGCAUCAAGUGUAUUGCGCACACAGAAAUAAGUUGAAAGACUGGAGCUUGUGUUAUGUUCUUACCACAAAUAAAACAGAGCAAUGUUGGAGUCUUGUUCCUAAACAACACGCCCAUCUCCCGGGAGAAGCAUGGAGGUCGGGAAAGCUAGAGCAGCAGACUCCUGAUUUGCCUUCUCAUGGACUGCUGAUAGGUCCUGUGUUGAGGAGGAGUGUGAUCAUGCUUGCCCUUUAUCCGUAGCAACGGGAAUGGAAGUCCCCGGCAUUCAGCGGAGAUGCAACAUAUUUGCAGAGGAGGGAUCUGUAGAAGACCCUUCAGGUGGUCGGGGCAGGCAAGGAAGUAAGCGGCAAAGAAGUGAGCAUGCGCAAAGCAGUGAGCAUGAAAACCGUUCAGACUGACGCGUCAUCAACCUGGAUCACGACCGUGAGGAGUCUGAUGCCAGGCAGUUCGUUAUCAGCAAGUUUAAAACACAGUACAAUUUGGAAAAGAAGUUUUCUGGUGUAAU